ensembl:lncRNA
CGCCACAUUUCCAUUCCUCCCCCUCCCCAGCCAGGGAGGGGGUGGGAAGGAGGAGGGAGAUUUCCGCUCUUCCUGCUCAUUGUCUCACCUCCCUCCCUCUCUCCCUCCCUCCCUUGCUGCAGCAUCAGUGCCUCCAGCUCCCGGGCUUCCCAGAAGCCUGAGCAUCCACCAUGCUGGAUAUUUUCAUUCUGAUGUUCUUCGCUAUUAUAGGCCUGGUCAUCCUGUCCUAUAUCAUCUAUCUGCUCUAGCAUCCUAGGAGCCCUGUUGGUGGGGAGAAGGGCUUUGUGAAGGAGAAGGAUGGAACCCAGAGGCCGAGCAACCUGCCUGCCCACUUCCAAGUGGACUUGUGCUUCUGAUCAUCAGAUCAUCACUUCGGCUCCUGGUCCCCCAGUUCAACAAGAGACUUCUUAUCUUCCCCAGCAGCCACAGAUUUCUGCUCUCGCAGGAUCUUUCCCUGGGCCUUCUGGAGACUGUUAACCCUUGGCAAGCAAAUGGCAUUUUGAAAUGGAAGCCAGAGGCAGGCUGAGAAGCAGCUGCAUCUCAGCAUGUCCAGCACAAUUCAUGGAUGGUGCUGGCAGGCUCUGCAGGCCACAGUGAGUUCAGGUGGCAGAAGAAAAGCCGGGAGAAGAGAGUUGGAAUGUGAAAUCAUCCAAGUCCCCAUGAAGGGCUGCUAAAAGUUAAGAUACGAGACAGCCUUUUGCUGGUUCUGUGUGCAAGUGAAUCUUACUAUACAGUUUCUCAUGUGUCCGUUCCUCCUUAAGAUUUCCUACAUGCAAAGCUUUGCCAUAUAAAUUCAAGGACAAUUGGUAUGUCUCCAUAUAUGGACUAAAUGUUAUUGCAAGGGAAUAGGAAUUUUUCACUCCAUCUUUGAAACUUGGCGAACUCAUUUUUCGAAUUAGUCUGCUCUCGUUAGGCCACAGAAAUUUGUCCUUUCAGCUAUUAAUGCUGCUUUAUCAUCCCUUCCUCCAGCCCCAGCUCCUCAUUAUAUAUGGAAAAAUUGUGAUAUGUAAAUCCUCAUUCUCUGUGCCAGAUGAAUUGAGGAAAUGGAAUUGUAAAUCACAAAUAAGAUGGCCACCAUCUGCACCUUCAGUCUAGAAAAGGGGGUUUGUUGUGAAAUCUCUGUAUAUUUGUACCCCAAAUUUGAAUAUUGUAGAGAUAGUCGCACCCUUCUACAAAAAGGCAUUUUCUUUGUCUUUGUAUGAUCAACUCCCAUCAGUUCCAUCCAAACAGGGUUGAAGAAAGCUUUCACCUUCUCUAGGGGGCAGGUUAGCCUCAGAAUUUAAAAGAUGACGCUGGGGUGACUGAAAAGGCCACAGCAUUGGUUGGUUUAGCUUUGGGAACACCCUUUACAUGUCCUAUAAUCUAUUUAAAAAAGAAAUCAACAAAAAAUUAACAACUUUUAUUAUGGACUCAACACAAAUUAAAAUACUUGUGCUGUGUUUCCAAAUUUUUUUUUAGUUAUUUUGAAAAGGAAAAGCUUAUGUUCUAUAAGCUGAUGUAGGAAGGAAAAUCAGGUCAGGAUUCUAUACAUAGAGCUGUGUCCCAGACCCAAUUUGUCCACUAAUUAGCUAUAUGACCUUGAGCAUGUCAAGUCUCUUCUCCAGCCCUCAGUUUUCUCAUUUGUCAAAUGAAGGAGGUGAAAUAAGUUGUCCCCAAAAUGCCUUCCAGUUUUAAAAUUCUAUGACUUGGACUUCACACACAAAAUAGGUGAUAUGUAUAAAGACUAGGUCUUUGGAGCAAACUCUUAAGAAUUAAGCAAUAAUCUCUUCUUUUCCCAGAAAUCAAGUUUUGUAAUAAAAACCCUGAUGCAAUAUAAACGAUUGUAGCAUAACUAGUCAAAUAAAGAAAAAAAGAUGGCGUUAUAUUUUACCACUUGUGGCUUUUAAAGUUUUAUUGUAUGAUGAUAUUUGGCAGUGACAAUUUCUUUAAAUUCUGGAAUAUUUGAGGAUAUCAGCGUAAUUUUUAGUGCAUUGUUUCCUAUUUGUUAUUCUUCUAUAAUAAAGAUCUAUGGCAUAUGUCUCUAUGCACAUGUAUAAAUUCUAUCCUGAAAUUUUCCAUUUUAGGCCAGAGUGUCUAUGCUGUUAUAGAUAACGCAGACAAAAUUGGCAAUUUAGGGGGAAAUCUAUCUAUGUCAUUAAUAUUCUUCUUCACUGAAAAAGUUCAUUCACAGGUCAUACACCCUUCUUUAAAAAAAACAAAAAAACCUUUUAUUUUUACAAAUUUGACAAACAUGAAGAAAUAUGAUCAUUUCCACAUACAAAGAAGAGAAAAAGAAUAUUCUAUAAGAAACUACAAAUCUAUUAUAUAUAGCUUGUUUCUUUUUAAAGUAUAUAAUAAAUUUAAUACUGUUGUUCUAAAAC